UCAUAUUCAUGCACGACAGAUGUUAAAAAUGAAUUCUCCUCUUAAAAUGUAAUUCAGGGUUGAUGAAUUGGUAAUCUAGAUUUGGAAUUUGAUGAAUUGAUGAACUGGGAUAUGAAAAUAGAAUUGAUAAUCCACCCAUGGAUCAUCCAAAUCCAAUUUAUAUCCGACUAUUUAACAUUCAUAAAUCUAUAUUCAAUACAUCC
rnacentral:lncRNA from 1 species